rnacentral:rRNA from 1 species
UGGGGAAUAUUGGACAAUGGGCGCAAGCCUGAUCCAGCCAUGCCGCGUGUGUGAAGAAGGCCUUUUGGUUGUAAAGCACUUUAAGCGAGGAGGAGGCUACUUGGAUUAAUACUCUAGGAUAGUGGACGUUACUCGCAGAAUAAGCACCGGCUAACUCUGUGCCAGCAGCCGAGGUAAUACAGAGGGUGCGAGCGUUAAUCGGAUUUACUGGGCGUAAAGCGUGCGUAGGCGGCUUCUUAAGUCGGAUGUGAAAUCCCUGAGCUUAACUUAGGAAUUGCAUUCGAUACUGGGAAGCUAGAGUAUGGGAGAGGAUGGUAGAAUUCCAGGUGUAGCGGUGAAAUGCGUAGAGAUCUGGAGGAAUACCGAUGGCGAAGGCAGCCAUCUGGCCUAAUACUGACGCUGAGGUACGAAAGCAUGGGGAGCAAACAGG